CCUUCCCUCCCCUCCCCUCCUUCCCUCCCUCUCCCCUUCCCACCUAUCUGCCCACCCUGGACCCCAGGGAGUCUCUAAACCUCUGGAACCCGCAGCCCAUUGCAUGCAACAAUAAAAGCUGGGAGCUCCUUGGCAGCGGGACCUGAGAGGCAGCCACACGGGAUAGUCACUGCCAUGGGAACCGUGGUCCUGGCCCUAGUCCUCCUGGGCACUGCAGCCGCCACGGCCGAACACUGUCCAGAAGUGAAGGUGCUGGGGCUGGAGGCCAACAUGCUCACCAUUCUCCGGGGCUGCCCAGGGCUGCCCGGGGCCCAGGGUCCCAAGGGAAAAGCAGGCACCGACGGCAG